GUGGGGAAUCUUCCACAAUGGACGAAAGUCUGAUGGAGCAACGCCGCGUGAGUGAAGAAGGGUUUCGGCUCGUAAAGCUCUGUUGUCGGGGACGAAUGUGCAGUAUUUGAAUAAAGUACUGUAAUGACGGUACCUGACGAGGAAGCCACGGCUAACUACGUGCCAGCAGCCGCGGUAAUACGUAGGUGGCAAGCGUUGUACGGAAUUAUUGGGCGUAAAGGGAGCGCAGGCGGGAAGGUAAGUCGGUCUUAAAAGUGCGGGGCUCAACCCCGUGAUGGGUUCGAAACUAUCUUUCUUGAGUGCAGGAGAGGAAAGUGGAAUUCCUAGUGUAGCGGUGAAAUGCGUAGAUAUUAGGAGGAACACCAGUGGCGAAGGCGACUUUCUGGACUGUAACUGACGCUGAGGCUCGAAAGCCAGGGGAGCGAACGGGAUUAGAUACCCUUGUAGUCC
rnacentral:rRNA from 1 species